rnacentral:rRNA from 1 species
UGGGGGAAUAUUGGACAAUGGGCGGGAAGCCUGAUCCAGCAACGCCGCGUGAGGGAUGAAUGCCUUCGGUUGGUAAACCUCUUUCAGUACCGACGAAGCGCAAGUGACGGUAGGUACAGAAGAAGCACCGGCCAACUACGUGCCAGCAGCCGCGGUAAUACGUAGGGUGCGAGCGUUGUCCGGAAUUAUUGGGCGUAAAGGGCUCGUAGGCGGUUUGUCGCGUCGGGAGUGAAACACCGGGCUUAACUCGGUGCUUGCUUUCGAUACGGGCAGACUAGAGGUAUGCAGGGGAGGAACGGAAUUCCUGGUGUAGCGGUGAAAUGCGCAGAUAUCAGGAGGAACACCGGUGGCGAAGGCGGUUCUCUGGGCAUUACCUGACGCUGAGGAGCGAAAGUGUGGGGGAGCGAACAGGAUUAGAUACCCUGGUAGUCCACACCGUAAAACGUUGGGCG